rnacentral:lncRNA from 1 species
GUUCGGCGGGGGGGUGGACCGAGGGGGGGGAGGCGCCUCUCCUUCCACGCCCGCGGCCCAACGGGUCACGGCCGGGGUCGGCGAGAGAGGCGGCGAAGGCCGGGACGCUCCCGGAGCCUCAGUCGCCCCGUCUCCGAAACGGGGACCGAGGGCGUAUCUAGCCCCGGAAAGCCUUCCUCCUCGGGAUCCGGGACGCUUGCCCGGCGCCCGGUCCCGGCUCCCCUCCCCGCCCGCGAGGGGUCUCGGCCGCGGAGGCGACGGGCGAGAGGACCCGGGCGGACCCCCCCGCCCCGAGGGGAAGGAGGCUCGCCGAAGGGUUAGGCGGCGGGGCGGGUGGUUGUCCCCGGCCCAAGGCCCCUCCUCCGUCGCAGCGGACGAAGGCGGUGUCCACGGAGCGGACUGGUGCUUCCGGCCACCGAGGAGGGGGGGCUGCGCCCUGCCGCUCGCCCACAGGAUCACCAAGCAGAUCUGCUGCUGCAGCCGCGUGGGCAAGGGCGGGGGGCGGGCUGCCACAGGUGCCCCCCGCCCGACUCAGGUAACCACCCCCGCCCCCCGCCCCCCGCCCCGGCCGGCCGGCCAGCCGCAGAGGGCCCGGGAGUCGGAAGGCCCCGGGUUCUCCUCCCGGCUCCGCCGCUCGUCGGGCCGGGUGACCCGGGGCCGGUCACCUCCCUGCCCUGGGCCUCGACCCCCUCAUCUGUCAAGCGGAGAGACCGUGAGCCCCACGAGGGACGGGGACCGCCCCCCACCUCAUCGGUCCGUACCUUACCCCAGCGCUCGGCACACGCUACGCGCUUGGCGGACCCCGUCACGGUGAUUACCGUGCACCCCGGUGCUUGGCAGAGAGCCCGGCACGUUAGCAAGCCGCUUAACAGAUACCGGCACGAUGACGGUCGUCCACCCCGCUGCUCAGUGCAGAGCCCGGCACGUAGUAAGCGCUUAACGGGUGCCACGGAGAAGCCCCCUUUUUACCCCACGGCAUUCCCGCGCUCCCCAGAGGGUGGACGUCCUGGCCUCUGGCGCAUCCCGGGGGUCUCGGGGCUCUCGGCGCCCCCGCGGAGGAGCCCGGCGGGGGCUUCUUCUCCCCGGCCCCCCCCAACGCCCCCUUCCUACGUGGCGGAUCCCGGGCCGUCGCCUCCGAAGGCCGCCGGCUGCCCCACGUCCCCCCGAUUCCGACCUCCUCUCCCUCCGCUUCCUCCGUGGGGCGUUUCUGUCCUCCCGCUCUAGUGGAGACCGGCUUCCCCCCGCCGCCCUCAGGGACCGCCUCCGGUCCGGCGAACCCCCGAGGCCCAAGCCCUGCCCCGCUCUCGCCCCACCGCGGGCCCCCGGGCGCCUCGGCUCGACCUCGCCCCUGUCUCCAGCGGACUUCAGGGAGAUCUGCCCGGCCGGCCCCGGCUACACCUACUCCGGCACGGACAUUCGGCUGGCCCUGAGGAGAACCGGAGAGGAGGAGCAGAAGGAGGAGGAGGAGGAGAAGAAGAAGGAGGAGGAGGAGGGCGAGAGUCUUCUGCCGCCGGAGACCACGGCCUCCGUCGAGGACACGCAAGGCGAGCCGGGAAGCCGUCGAGGUGAGCGUCUCCCCUACCGGGUGCGGCCCGGCUCUCUUAAAGACGCGGGCCCCGCCGUCUCUCUGUGGAGGUCCGGCAGAGGACCGGGAGUUGCCCCGUCACCGAAGCGGGGCCCUCGGGCUCCGGACCCCGGGGCUCGAUCGGUCACUGGCGACAACCGUCACGGCGGUUAUCCGUUCGGGUCCCGCGACUGGCCGCCGAGCACCGUUCUGACAACCCGGGGUAGAUCCGAGGGCGUCGGGUCGUCCCACGCGGGCUCGAGCGGGCUUGCCCGAGGUCACAACGUG